rnacentral:rRNA from 1 species
UGGGGAAUUUUGGACAAUGGGGGCAACCCUGAUCCAGCCAUUCCGCGUGAGUGAAGAAGGCCUUCGGGUUGUAAAGCUCUUUCGCAAGGGAAGAAAACUCGAUCUCUAAUAUAGGUUGAGGCUGACGGUACCUUGAUAAGAAGCACCGGCUAACUACGUGCCAGCAGCCGCGGUAAUACGUAGGGUGCGAGCGUUAAUCGGAAUUACUGGGCGUAAAGCGUGCGCAGGCGGUUUUGAAAGUCAGAUGUGAAAUCCCCGGGCUCAACCUGGGAACUGCGUUUGAAACUCCAAAGCUAGAGUAUGGGAGAGGGAGGUAGAAUUCCACGUGUAGCAGUGAAAUGCGUAGAGAUGUGGAGGAAUACCAAUGGCGAAGGCAGCCUCCUGGCCUAAUACUGACGCU